UAUUCCAUCCACAGUAAGGCGUAAUUAA
rnacentral:misc_RNA from 1 species